GUGAGGAAUAUUAGGCAAUGGGCGAAAGCCUGACCUAGCGACGCCGCGUGGAGGAUGAAGGCCCUCGGGUCGUAAACUCCUGUCAGGAGGGAAGAAAAGUUCCGGCGGAAACACCUCCGGGACCUGACGGUACCUCCAAAGGAAGCACCGGCUAACUCCGUGCCAGCAGCCGCGGUAAUACGGAGGGUGCAAGCGUUGUUCGGAAUCACUGGGCGUAAAGGGGGUGUAGGCGGCUUCGUCAGUCGGAUGUGAAAUCCCUCGGCUCAACCGAGGAAUUGCAUUCGAUACUGCGAAGCUUGAGGACGGCAGAGGGAAACAGAAUUCCUGGUGUAGCGGUGAAAUGCGUUGAUAUCAGGAGGAACACCUGUGGCGAAGGCGGUUUCCUGGGCCGUUUCUGACGCUGAGACCCGAAAGCGUCGGGUAGCAAACCGGAUUAGAUACCCGAGUAGUCC
rnacentral:rRNA from 1 species